AUUACUCUCCCGUUUAUGGAUGAAUGAUGGAUGACUUCCUGGGCCAUGAUUAUUUUUCUCUACAAAGAGCAGUGAUCUCUCUACCCGCUAAGAAUACUGACUCUUUAUUAGCUGAUGAAGGCAGUGACUUUGAAGAUAGCUUCAAUCGCAAUGUGAAGAAGAAAGCAGCAAAACGACCACCGAAAACAACACCGGUGGCAAACAACGAAAGAAAGGGUCCCGAGUGGUACAUCGUCAUAGCCGGAAACAGUCAGAGCCACCAGCCAAUGAUCUUUUCAAUGCUGUGAAAGCUGCCAAAAGUGACAUGCAGGUAAAGCCGUGUCUCACCUCUGUUGAUACCAUCUCACUUUUUGUAAGGUGGUAAGGACAAGUGUCUACAAACUUGAUUUGAUGUGAACAUUUCAGUGAAUGUAACAUAUCAAGAAAGAUAAGAUUAUGGGGUGAAUCCUUGGAGUAAUAGAAGGGUAACCUUGAAUGAGAGAGCAUUUUUUUUUUUUUUGAGACAGAGUGGUGCAACU